UACGUAGGGUGCAAGCGUUAAUCGGAAUUACUGGGCGUAAGCGUGCGCAGGCGGUGAUGUAAGACAGUUGUGAAAUCCCCGGGCUCAACCUGGGAACUGCAUCUGUGACUGCAUCGCUGGAGUGCGGCAGAGGGGGAUGGAAUUCCGCGUGUAGCAGUGAAAUGCGUAGAUAUGCGGAGGAACACCGAUGGCGAAGGCAAUCCCCUGGGCCUGCACUGACGCUCAUGCACGAAAGCGUGGGAGCAACAGG
rnacentral:rRNA from 1 species